GACGAACGCUGGCGGCGUGCUUAACACAUGCAAGUCGAGCGGUAAGGCUCCUUCGGGAGUACACGAGCGGCGAACGGGUGAGUAACACGUGAGCAAUCUGCCCUUCACAUGGGAAUAACUUCGGGAAACCGAAGCUAAUACCGAAUACGACCACCGAUGGCAUCUUCUGGUGGUGGAAAGUUCCGGCGGUGAAGGAUGAGCUCGCGGCCUAUCAGCUUGUUGGUGAGGUAAUGGCCCACCAAGGCGACGACGGGUAGCCGGCCUGUGAGGGUGACCGGCCACACUGGGACUGAGACACGGCCCAGACUCCUACGGGAGGCAGCAGUGGGGAAUAUUGGACAAUGGGCGAAAGCCUGAUCCAGCAACGCCGCGUGAGGGAUGACGGCCUCGGUGUAAC
rnacentral:rRNA from 1 species